UGGGGGAUAUUGCACAAUGGGGGGAACCCUGAUGCAGCGACGCCGCGUGGGCGAUGAAGUACCCCGGUACGUAAAGCCCUGUCAGCAGGGAAGAAAGAGGACGGUACCUGACCAAGAAGCACCGGCUAAAUACGUGCCAGCAGCCGCGGUAAUACGUAUGGUGCAAGCGUUAUCCGGAUUUACUGGGUGUAAAGGGGGCGCAGGCGGCGCGUUAAGCCUGGUGUGAAAGCCCGCGGCCCAACCGCGGGACUGCAUUGGGAACUGGCGGGCUGGAGUGCCGGAGAGGCAGGCGGAAUUCCUGGUGUAGCGGUGAAAUGCGUAGAUAUCAGGAGGAACACCAGUGGCGAAGGCGGCCUGCUGGACGGUAACUGACGCUGAGGCCCGAAAGCGUGGGGAGCAAACAGG
rnacentral:rRNA from 1 species